AUUGCCACUAUGGCUGGAUCAAUAAGGAUGUUAACAACCUAUUGCCUGGGUUCAGAGAGAAGUAGAAAUAAAAUCCACCCCUGGACUCCUGGGCCUCCUGAGUCGAAGGCUACAUGGACCUUACACAGGAUAGA